rnacentral:rRNA from 1 species
AACGAACGCUGGCGGCAUGCCUAACACAUGCAAGUCGAACGAGACCUUCGGGUCUAGUGGCGCACGGGUGCGUAACGCGUGGGAACCUGCCCUUAGGUUCGGAAUAACUCCCCGAAAGGGGUGCUAAUACCGGAUAAUGUCUUCGGACCAAAGAUUUAUCGCCUUUGGAUGGGCCCGCGUUGGAUUAGCUCGUUGGUAGGGUAAAAGCCUACCAAGGCGACGAUCCAUAGCUGGUCUGAGAGGAUGAUCAGCCACACUGGGACUGAGACACGGCCCAGACUCCUACGGGAGGAAGCAGUGGGGAAUAUUGGACAAUGGGCGAAAGCCUGAACCAGCAAUGCCGGGUGAGUGAUGAAGGCAUUAGGGUUGUAAAGCUCUUUUACCCGGGAUGAUAAUGACAGUACCGGGAGAAUAAGCUCCGGCUAACUCCGUG